rnacentral:rRNA from 1 species
AGUGAACGCUGGCGGUAGGCCUAACACAUGCAAGUAGAACGGCAGCACAGUAAGAGCUUGCUCUUACGGGUGGCGAGUGGCGGACGGGUGAGGAAUACAUCGGAAUCUACUUUUUCGUGGGGGAUAACGUAGGGAAACUUACGCUAAUACCGCAUACGACCUACGGGUGAAAGCAGGGGAUCUUCGGACCUUGCGCGAUUGAAUGAGCCGAUGUCGGAUUAGCUAGUUGGCGGGGUAAAGGCCCACCAAGGCGACGAUCCGUAGCUGGUCUGAGAGGAUGAUCAGCCACACUGGAACUGAGACACGGUCCAGACUCCUACGGGAGGCAGCAGUGGGGAAUAUUGGACAAUGGGCGCAAGCCUGAUCCAGCCAUACCGCGUGGGUGAAGAAGGCCUUCGGGUUGUAAAGCCCUUUUGUUGGGAAAGAAAAGCAGCAGGUUAAUACCCCGCUGUUCUGACGGUACCCAAAGAAUAAACACCGGCUAACUUCGU